AACGAACGCUGGCGGCAGGCUUAACACAUGCAAGUCGAACGGGUGUAGCAAUACAUCAGUGGCAGACGGGCGAGUAACACGUUGGAACCUUCCUAGGGGUACGGAACAACUCAGGGAAACUUGAGCUAAUACCGUAUACGUCCGUGAGGAGAAAGAUUUAUCGCCCUUAGACGGGCCCGCGUCGGAUUAGGUAGUUGGUGGGGUAACGGCCUACCAAGCCUACGAUCCGUAGCUGAUCGUAGAGGAUGAUCAGCCACACUGGGACUGAGACACGGCCCAGACUCCUACGGGAGGCAGCAGUGGGGAAUCUUGGACAAUGGGCGCAAGCCUGAUCCAGCCAUGCAGCGUGAGUGAAGAAGGCCUUAGGGUUGUAAAGCUCUUUUACCAGGGACGAUAAUGACGGUACCUGGAGAAUAAGCCCCGGCAAACUUCGUGCCAGCCGCCGCCGUAAAAC
rnacentral:rRNA from 1 species